UACGUAGGGCGCAAGCGUUAUCCGGAAUUAUUGGGCGUAAAGAGCUCGUAGGCGGUUUGUCGCGUCUAUCGUGAAAGUCCGAGGCUCAACCUCGGAUCUGCGGUGGGUACGGGCAGACUAGAGUGAUGUAGGGGAGACUGGAAUUCCUGGUGUAGCGGUGAAAUGCGCAGAUAUCAGGAGGAACACCGAUGGCGAAGGCAGGUCUCUGGGCUGUAACUGACGCUGAGGAGCGAAAGCAUGGGGAGCGAACAGG
rnacentral:misc_RNA from 1 species